GAUGAACGCUGGCGGCGUGCCCAAUACAUGCAAGUCGAGCGAACAGACGAGGAGCUUGCUCCUCUGACGUUAGCGGCGGACGGGUGAGUAACACGUGGAUAACCUACCUAUAAGACUGGGAUAACUUCGGGAAACCGGAGCUAAUACCGGAUAAUAUAUUGAACCGCAUGGUUGAAUAGUGAAAGACGGUUUUGCUGUCACUUAUAGAUGGAUCCGCGCCGCAUUAGCUAGUUGGUAAGGUAACGGCUUACCAAGGCAACGAUGCGUAGCCGACCUGAGAGGGUGAUCGGCCACACUGGAACUGAGACACGGUCCAGACUCCUACGGGAGGCAGCAGUAGGGAAUCUUCCGCAAUGGGCGAAAGCUUGACGGAGCAACGCCGCGUGAGUGAUGAAGGUCUUCGGAUCGUAAAACUCUGUUAUUAGGGAAGAACAAAUGUGUAAGUAACUAUGCACGUCUUGACGGUACCUAAUCAGAAAGCCACGGCUAACUACGUG
rnacentral:rRNA from 1 species